AUGCAUUAGUUUGAUAACGGGAUCGUCAUCGCAGGUCUUCUUGUUGGAGGGACGACCGCCACUGAGCCACUCAAUACAUUUACGGGAUUAUGUCUCUCCCGCUUGUCAAAGAAACCGGAAGGGGGGUGGGUCAACGAAGGUGCUGGCUUGAGGUUUGAUGCAUAAUGUUGGAAGUUCAAAGAGCAUGACGGGCCCGACUCUGAUCCGGCCUCACAGGACAUUCACGCUACGAUUUCCGUCUAGUCAGGACAAGGCAAGAAGGGUGGUCAGUUAUACGUUGGGCCGGCGCCAUCCGUGAGAAGGACAUUCCGAAACUCUCCCACCUCCAUGCUACCACGUCGAGCUCAGGUCCUGCUAUAGAGCGUCGCCCACAGCCUGGGCUGCACAUGCUCCAUCAAUUUGAGAGGAAGAAACCAGGUUGCGGCAGGAGGCUUAGGCCAAUGCCUUGCUUCGACAGGAGCAAGCCAUGAAAAUGCAGCAAGCCAUGUUUCAAUAGCAGGAAUUCAAGGCUAGACAGCAGGCAGCCUUGCAGGAGACAUUCGCUCAGUUCAGAACUAAUAUGCAGGGUUCCACUUUGCCGGAUCUUCCUCCACUUCCACCUCUUCCUACUUUCAACUUUUUUUCUCAGUCGGGACAAGGCUCCAAUAACAGUGUGGUAGGUGGAUCUACACCUGGCCUAAGCAAGCCUAGUGGCACCCACUACGGCUCAUGUCACUUCGACCUCCCCGCAACAAUGAUCACUCGAGGUAGUUGUCUAUGUUUGUGCAUUGUUGAUGGUUACGUCUUGUCGUUGCUUGUGCUUCUCAACAUACUAAUUGUGCAUUGUUGAU